ACUCCUACGGGAGGCAGCAGUAGGGAAUCUUCCGCAAUGGGCGAAAGCCUGACGGAGCAACGCCGCGUGAGUGAUGAAGGUCUUCGGAUCGUAAAACUCUGUUGUUAGGGAAGAACAAAUUUGUUAGUAACUGAACAAGUCUUGACGGUACCUAACCAGAAAGCCACGGCUAACUACGUGCCAGCAGCCGCGGUAAUACGUAGGUGGCAAGCGUUAUCCGGAAUUAUUGGGCGUAAAGCGCGCGUAGGCGGUUUCUUAAGUCUGAUGUGAAAGCCCACGGCUCAACCGUGGAGGGUCAUUGGAAACUGGGAAACUUGAGUGCAGAAGAGGAGAGUGGAAUUCCAUGUGUAGCGGUGAAAUGCGCAGAGAUAUGGAGGAACACCAGUGGCGAAGGCGGCUCUCUGGUCUGUAACUGACGCUGAUGUGCGAAAGCGUGGGGAUCAAACAGGAUUAGAUACCCUGGUAGCUACGAGU
rnacentral:rRNA from 1 species